rnacentral:rRNA from 1 species
GGAUGACACAGUAGGAUAAGCUAAGCACACUGUUGGUUAUGUGUGCCCAAGCAUUGAGGCAGUCAAAGUAGGCAAAUCCGCUUUGAUAAUGCUGGGAUGUGAUGGGGAGCGAAAUUUAGUAGCGAAGUAGCUGAUUUCACACUGUCAAGAAAAGUCUCUAUCGAGGUUAAAGGUACCCGUACCGCAAACCGACACAGGUGGGUGAGGAGAGUAUCCUAAGGCCAGCGAGAGAACUGUUGUUAAGGAACUCGGCAAAAUGACCCCGUAACUUAGGGAUAAGGGGUGCCACCAUCAGGUGGCCGCAGAGAAUAGGCCCAAGCGACUGUUUACCAAAAACAUAGGUUUCUGCUAAGUCGCAAGACGAUGUAUAGGAGCUGACGCCUGCCCGGUGCUGGAAGGUUAAGGGGAUCUGUUAGAGCAAUCGAAGCAGUGAACUUAAGCCCCAGUAAACGGCGGCCGUAACUAUAACGGUCCUAAGGUAGCGAAAUUCCUUGUCGGGUAAGUUCCGACCCGCACGAAAGGCGUAACGAUUUGGGCACUGUCUCAACAACAGACUCGGUGAAAUUGUAAUUCCGGUGAAGAUGCCGGAUACCUGCGACAGGACGGAAAGACCCCAUGGAGCUUUACUGUAGCUUGACAUUGGGUCUUGGUACUACAUGUACAGGAUAGGUGGGAGGCUUUGAAACCAGGACGCCAGUUUUGGCGGAGCCAUCCUUGGGAUACCACCCUUGUAGUACUGGGACUCUAACCAUAGGCCAUGAAUCUGGUCUUGGGACACUGUCAGGUGGGCAGUUUGACUGGGGCGGUCGCCUCCCAAAAGGUAACGGAGGCGCUCAAAGGUUCUCUCAGUACGGUCGGAAAUCGUACGUAGAGUGUAAAGGCAAAAGAGAGCUUGAUUGCAAGACAUACAGGUCGAGCAAGGAUGAAAAUCGGACUUAGUGAUCCGGUGGUUCUGCGUGGAAGGGCCAUCGCUCAACGGAUAAAAGCUACCCUGGGGAUAACAGGCUUAUCUCCCCCAAGAGUCCACAUCGACGGGGAGGUUUGGCACCUCGAUGUCGGCUCAUCACAUCCUGGGGCUGUAGUAGGUCCCAAGGGUUGGGCUGUUCGCCCAUUAAAGUGGUACGCGAGCUGGGUUCAGAACGUCGUGAGACAGUUCGGUCCCUAUCCGUCGCAGGCGUAGGAAAUUUGAGAAGACCUGUCCUUAGUACGAGAGGAC